UUUGGAGAGUUUGAUCCUGGCUCAGGACGAACGCUGGCGGCGUGCUUAACACAUGCAAGUCGAGCGGAAAGGCCCUUCGGGGUACUCGAGCGGCGAACGGGUGAGUAACACGUGAGUAACCUGCCCCUGACUCUGGGAUAAGCCUGGGAAACUGGGUCUAAUACCGGAUACGACAUCUUCCGGCAUCGGAUGGAUGUAGAAAGUUUUUUCGGUCAGGGAUGGGCUCGCGGCCUAUCAGCUUGUUGGUGGGGUAGUGGCCUACCAAGGCGACGACGGGUAGCCGGCCUGAGAGGGCGACCGGCCAC
rnacentral:rRNA from 1 species